rnacentral:rRNA from 1 species
AGACGUAGGGGGCGAGCGUUGUCCGGAUUUAUUGGGCGUAAAGGGCUCCUAGGUGGUUCAGUAAGUCGACUGUGAAAAUCCAAGGCUCAACCUUGGGACGCCAGUCGAUACUGCUGUGACUCGAGUUCGGUAGAGGAGUGUGGAAUUCCUGGUGUAGCGGUGAAAUGCGCAGAUAUCAGGAGGAACACCAACGGCGAAGGCAGCACUCUGGGCCGAUACUGACACUGAAGAGCGAAAGCGUGGGGAGCAAACAGGAUUAGAUACCCUGGUAGUCCACACCGUAAACGAUGAAUGCCAGACGUCGGGCAGCAUGCUGUUCGGUGUCACACCUAACGGAUUAAGCAUUCCGCCUGGGGAGUACGGUCGCAAGAUUAAAACUCAAAGGAAUUGACGGGGCCCGCACAAGCGGUGGAGCAUGUGGUUUAAUUCGAUGCAACGCGAAGAACCUUACCAGGGUUUGACAUCCUGCGAAUCUCUUGGAAACGAGAGAGUGCCUUCGGGAACGCAGU